rnacentral:rRNA from 1 species
GUCCACGCGGUAAACGAUGAGAACUAGCCGUUGGGAACAAUUAGGUUUUCAGUGGCGCAGCUAACGCGAUAAGUUCUCCGCCUGGGGAGUACGGCCGCAAGGUUAAACUCAAAUGAAUUGACGGGGGCCCGCACAAGCGGUGGAGCAUGUGGUUUAAUUCGAUGCAACGCGAAGAACCUUACCUGGCCUUGACAUGUCGCGAACCCGGAAGAGAUUUCGGGGUGCCUUCUGGAGCGCGAACACAGGUGCUGCAUGGCUGUCGU